AGAGUUUGAUCAUGGCUCAGGAUGAACGCUGGCGGCGUGCCUAACACAUGCAAGUCGAGCGAUCUUCUUCGGAAGAGAGCGGCGGACGGGUGAGUAACGCGUGGGUAACCUGCCCCAUACACAUGGAUAACAUACCGAAAGGUAUGCUAAUACAAGAUGAUAUAAGAGAUUCGCAUGGAUUUCUUAUCAAAGCUCCGGCGGUAUGAGAUGGACCCGCGUCUGAUUAGCUAGUUGGUAAGGUAAUGGCUUACCAAGGCGACGAUCAGUAGCCGACCUGAGAGGGUGAUCGGCCACAUCGGAACUGAGACACGGUCCAAACUCCUACGGGAGGCAGCAGUGGGGAAUAUUGCACAAUGGGCGAAAGCCUGAUGCAGCAACGCCGCGUGAGCGAUGAAGGCCUUCGGGUCGUAAAGCUCUGUCCUCAAGGAAGGUAAUGACGGUACUUGAGGAGGAAGCCCCGGCUAACUACGUG
rnacentral:rRNA from 1 species